rnacentral:rRNA from 1 species
AGAGUUUGAUCAUGGCUCAGAACGAACGCUGGCGGCGUGCCUAACACAUGCAAGUCGAACGCGAAAGGGAGCAAUCCCCGGUAGCGUGGCAGACGGGUGAGUAACACGUGGGUAACCUACCCGGAGGUGGGGGAUAACCCUUCGAAAGGAGGGCUAAUACCGCAUGAUACCGUGGGGACCUCGGUCCUCGCGAUCAAAGCUGGCCUCUGUUUACAAGCUAGCGCCACCGGAUGGGCCCGCGCCCCAUUAGCUAGUUGGUGAGGUAACGGCUCACCAAGGCGACGAUGGGUAGCCGGCCUGAGAGGGCGAUCGGCCACACUGGAACUGCGACACGGUCCAGACUCCUACGGGAGGCAGCAGUGAGGAAUCUUGCGCAAUGGGCGAAAGCCUGACGCAGCGACGCCGCGUGGAGGAUGAAGGUCUUCGGAUUGUAAACUCCUGUCGAGUGGGACGAAUGCCGAGAGGGUGAAUACCCCUUUCGGUUGACGGUACCGCUGGAGGAAGCCCCGGCUAACUCCGUGCCAGCAGCCGCGGUAAUACGGAGGGGGCUAGCGUUGUUCGGAAUCAUUGGGCGUAAAGGGCGCGUAGGCGGCCGAUCAAGUCGGAGGUGAAAUCCCUCGGCUCAACUGAGGAAUUGCCUUCGAUACUGUUCGGCUUGGGUCCUGGAGAGGGUAGCGGAAUUCCCGGUGUAGCGGUGAAAUGCGUAGAGACCGGGAAGAACACCAGUGGCGAAGGC